rnacentral:tRNA from 1 species
UAUUAAGUGGCCGAAAACAAGCACUAAACUUUUAAUUUAGAAAAUGAUUUUUAUUAAUCCUUAAU